rnacentral:rRNA from 1 species
GACGAACGCUGGCGGCGUGCCUAAUACAUGCAAGUUGAGCGCUGAAGGUUGGUACUUGUACCAACUGGAUGAGCAGCGAACGGGUGAGUAACGCGUGGGGAAUCUGCCUUUGAGCGGGGGACAACAUUUGGAAACGAAUGCUAAUACCGCAUAAAAACUUUAAACAAAAGUUUUAAGUUUGAAAGAUGCAAUUGAAUCACUCAAAGAUGAUCCCGCGUUGUAUUAGCUAGUUGGUGAGGUAAAGGCUCACCAAGGCGAUGAUACAUAGCCGACCUGAGAGGGUGAUCGGCCACAUUGGGACUGAGACACGGCCCAAACUCCUACGGGAGGCAGCAGGAGGGAAUCUUCGGCAAUGGACGAAAGUCUGACCGAGCAACGCCGCGUGAGUGAAGAAGGUUUUCGGAUCGUAAAACUCUGUUGGUAGAGAAGAACGUUGGUGAGAGUGGAAAGCUCAUCAAGUGACGGUAACUACCCAGAAAGGGACGGCUAACUACGUG